rnacentral:rRNA from 1 species
GGUUCGGCCCUCGGCUGACGGCUCAGUAACACGUGGAUAAUCUGCCCUAAGGUGGAGGAUAACCUCGGGAAACUGAGAAUAAUACUCCAUAGGCCUUGGAUGCUGGAAUGCACCAAGGCUGAAAGUUCCGACGCCUUAGGAUGAGUCUGCGGACUAUCAGGUUGUAGUCAGGGUAAAGACCUGACUAGCCUACGACGGAUACGGGUUGUGAGAGCAAUAACCCGGAGAUGAUAUCUGAGACACGAUAUCAGGCCCUACGGGGCGCAGCAGGCGCGAAAACUUCACAAUGCGCGAAAGCGCGAUGAGGGAAUCCCAAGUGCUUGCACGUAAGUGUAAGCUGUUUCUAUGUUUAGAAUGCAUAGAGAGUAAGGGCUGGGUAAGACGGGUGCCAGCCGCCGCGGUAAUACCUGCAGCUCAAGUGGUGAUCGCUAUUAUUGGGCCUAAAACGUCCGUAGCCGGUCUUAUAAAUGCCUGGGUAAAUCGUGCCGCUCAACGGUACCAAUUCCGGGUAGACUGUAAGACUUGGGACCGGGAGAGGCUAGAGGUACUCCUGGGGUAGAGGUGAAAUUCUGUAAUCCUGGGGGGACCACCAGUGGCGAAGGCGUCUAGCUAGAAC